CUGGCGGCGUGCCUAAUACAUGCAAGUCGAACGGUCUUUUCUAUGGAAGCUUGCUUCCACUGAGAAGAUAGUGGCGAACGGGUGAGUAACACGUGGGUAACCUGCCCAUAAGAGGGGGAUAACAUCCGGAAACGGGUGCUAAUACCGCAUAGUUUUCUUGAUCGCAUGAUCGGGAAAGGAAAGACGGCCUUUGUGCUGUCGCUUAUGGAUGGACCCGCGGCGUAUUAGUUAGUUGGUGAGGUAAUGGCUCACCAAGACGAUGAUACGUAGCCGACCUGAGAGGGUGAUCGGCCACAUUGGGACUGAGACACGGCCCAAACUCCUACGGGAGGCAGCAGUAGGGAAUCUUCCGCAAUGGACGAAAGUCUGACGGAGCAACGCCGCGUGAGUGAAGAAAGGUUUUCGGAUCGUAAAACUCUGUUGUCAGAGAAGAACAAGUUGGAGAGUAACUGCUCCAGCCUUGACGGUAUCUGACCAGAAAGCCACGGCUAACUACGUGCCAGCCGCAGC
rnacentral:rRNA from 1 species